AUGGACAUGAGGGCUCCCACUCAGCUCCUGGGGCUCCUAUUGCUUUGGCUCACAGGUGCCAGCUGUGACAUCCAGAUGACCCAGUCUCCGUCCUCCCUGUAUGCUUCUCUGGGAGAAAGAGUGUCUAUCACUUGCCGGGCAAGUCAGGACAUUAGGAAGUAUUUAGCAUGGUAUCAGCAACAACCAGGGAAACCUCCUAGGCCCCUGAUCUAUUAUGCUUCGAGUCUGCAAUCUGGGGUCCCAUCAAGGUUCAGUGGCAGUGGAUCUGGGACAGAUUACACUCUCACUAUCAGCAGCCUUCAGCCUGAAGAUAUUGCAACUUAUUUCUGUCAGCAGUAUGACAGUACUCCUCCCACAGUGUUACAAGUCAUAACAAAAACCACCCAGGGAAGCAGAUGUGUGAGGCUGGGCUGUACCAGCUUCUCCUUUGAUGCUGAGGUGUCUCGAUCAUCUGAGAAUAUUUCCUGA